AGAAACUUCUGGCCUCUGGACACUGUGGGAGCAACUUUUCCUUUAUUAGACUGUCUCCUCUUUAACUGUACCUAGAAGAUACUUUAGCACAGCAAGCAUCUCUUUUAUGCUUACAUUAUGCAGUUAUGCAGACUUGGUGUACGUCCUUCAAGGACAGUCUAAGAAUCUUUGAUUCUAUUUCUGCUGGAUACAUUGUUGCAGAGAUGUAAGAAGGAAGGACUUAGAAAAGAAUAUUGCAGCAUGACUGGGAAGCCUGUCCUUCAUUACUUCAAUUGAAGAAGAAGAAUGGAGUCCAUCCGGUGGCUCCUGGCAGCAGCUGGAGUAGAGUUUGAGGAAGAACUUUUUGAAACCCAUGAAGAGUUUGAGAAGUUAAUCCAAGGUGGAACCCUGAUGUACGAGCAAGUGCCCAUGGUGGAAAUCGAUGGAAUGACUUUGGUGCAGACCAGUGCCAUCUUAAGAUAUGUAGCUGCAAAAUAUGACUUGUAUGGAAGGAACCUGGAGGAACAAGCCUGAAGAGAAGGAGAUGAACCUUGAAUACAUCCUCCACCGAGCUACAACAAGAUUCUUCCCCGUUUAUGAGAAGCUGUAUUAGAAAACCCUUAUGAAAAAAUGGAUUUGUGUCCCUCUGAGAACACUCUCCUUAUACAUGGAGAAUUUUCUAAAGAGGGCAUGCCUAAGGUCCACACAUGGGGUGAGGACAGAGUAUCGCCACAAGUCAAGAGCAGCCACCAGAGAGGAUGCUGCUUAACUCACAAGGCCCUGAGAGACCACGGGCAAGACUUUCUUGUGGGCAAUCGGCUGAGCUUGGCUGAUGUCCAGCUCCUUGAAGUCAUCUUAAUGGCUGAAGAAUGCAAAGCCAGUGUUCUCUCGGGUUUCCCUCUGCUACAGGACUUCAAGGUGAGAACCAGCCAAAUUCCUACAAUUAACAGCUUCCUCCAACCUGGAAGCCAGAGGAAGCCUCCUUUGGAGGAGCGAUCCAUUGGGACUGCAAAGGACAUAUUCAAAUUUGAAUGAGGACUGUUUCUUAAAAACAUGAGCAAUAUAGUAGCUGAGUAUUAACAGCUACAGAGGCUGGAGUUACUCAGUAAGUAUACUGAGUAACUUGACACUGCAUUCAUAAAAAGACACUCACUAAGUAUAUGGCCAGAGAAAUAUCCUGAAGUUAGUAAUAAAUGUUAGGAAUCUUAGUAUGUUAGCAAUGUUAGAAUGUUAGUAAUGGAAAUAUUAAAUGUGUAAGAGAAAAACUACUAGAAGCUUAUCAAUAAACUACAAGAACCAACUCUUGUUUGAAGUAAGACAGGCUACCAAGACAGAAUUCAGAAAAUCCAAGGAGCCCUCGGCCUUCUGUAUGAUCCUAGAAUAAACUUGUAUGUAGCAAGUGAAA
rnacentral:lncRNA from 1 species